UACGUAGGGGGCAAGCGUUGUCCGGAUUUAUUGGGCGUAAAGAGCGUGUAGGCGGCCAGGUAGGUCGGUUGUGAAAACUCGAGGCUCAACCUCGAGAUGUCGACCGAAACCAUCUGGCUAGAGUCCGGAAGAGGAGAAUGGAAUUCCCGGUGUAGCGGUGAAAUGCGCAGAUAUCGGGAAGAACACCCGUGGCGAAGGCGGUUCUCUGGGACGGUACUGACGCUGAGAGACGAAAGCUAGGGGAGCGAAUGGG
rnacentral:rRNA from 1 species